rnacentral:rRNA from 1 species
UACGUAGGGGGCGAGCGUUGUUCGGAAUUACUGGGCGUAAAGAGCUCGUAGGUGGUUUGUCGCGUUGUUCGUGAAAUCUCACGGCUUAACUGUGAGCGUGCGGGCGAUACGGGCAGACUAGAGUACUGCAGGGGAGACUGGAAUUCCUGGUGUAGCGGUGGAAUGCGCAGAUAUCAGGAGGAACACCGGUGGCGAAGGCGGGUCUCUGGGCAGUAACUGACACUGAGGAGCGAAAGCGUGGGGAGCGAACAGG